rnacentral:rRNA from 1 species
ACGGACUCUUCGGAGUUAGUGGCGGACGGGUGAGUAACGCGUGAGAAUCUGGCUUCAGGUUCGGGACAACAGUUGGAAACGGCUGCUAAUACCGGAUGUGCCUUAUGGUGAAAGAUUUAUCACCUGAAGAUGAGCUCGCGUCUGAUUAGCUAGUAGGUGUGGUAAGAGCGCACCUAGGCGACGAUCAGUAGCUGGUCUGAGAGGAUGAUCAGCCACACUGGGACUGAGACACGGCCCAGACUCCUACGGGAGGCAGCAGUGGGGAAUUUUCCGCAAUGGGCGAAAGCCUGACGGAGCAAUACCGCGUGAGGGAGGAAGGCUCUUGGGUUGUAAACCUCUUUUCUCAGGGAAGAAUGAUGACGGUACCUGAGGAAUAAGCAUCGGCUAACUCCGUGCCAGCAGCCGCGGUAAUACGGAGGAUGCAAGCGUUAUCCGGAAUGAUUGGGCGUAAAGCGUCCGCAGGUGGCAAUGUAAGUCUGCUGUCAAAGCGUCUGGCUCAACCAGAUAAAGGCAGUGGAAACUACAUAGCUAGAGUAAGGUAGGGGUAGAGGGAAUUCCUGGUGUAGCGGUGAAAUGCGUAGAGAUCAGGAAGAACACCGGUGGCGAAAGCGCUCUGCUGGACCUUAACUGACACUGAGGGACGAAAGCUAGGGGAGCGAAUGGGAUUAGAUACCCCAGUAGUCCUAGCCGUAAACGAUGGAUACUAGGCGUUGCCCGUAUCGACCCGGGCAGUGUCGUAGCUAACGCGUUAAGUAUCCCGCCUGGGGAGUACGCAGGCAACUGUGAAACUCAAAGGAAUUGACGGGGGCCCGCACAAGCGGUGGAGUAUGUGGUUUAAUUCGAUGCAACGCGAAGAACCUUACCAGGGCUUGACAUGUCCGGAAUCCUCUUGAAAGGGAGGAGUGCCUUCGGGAACCGGAACACAGGUGGUGCAUGGCUGUCGUCAGCUCGUGUCGUGAGAUGUUGGGUUAAGUCCCGCAACGAGCGCAACCCUCGUUCUUAGUUGCCAUCAUUAAGUUGGGAACUCUAAGGAGACUGCCGGUGACAAACCGGAGGAAGGUGGGGAUGACGUCAAGUCAGCAUGCCCCUUACGCCCUGGGCUACACACGUACUACAAUGCUAUGGACAAAGGGCAGCAAGCCAGCGAUGGCAAGCAAAUCUCGUAAACCAUGGCUCAGUUCAGAUCGCAGGCUGCAACUCGCCUGCGUGAAGUCGGAAUCGCUAGUAAUUGCAGGUCAGCAUACUGCAGUGAAUUCGUUCCCGGGCCUUGUACACACCGCCCGUCACACCAUGGAAGCUGGUCACGCCCGAAGUCGUUACCCUAACCUUUCGAGGAGGGGGACGCCGAAGGUAGGACUGGUGACUGGGGUGAAGUCGUAACAAGGUAGCCGUACCGGAAGGUGUGGCUGGAUCACCUCCUU